AGCGAGGGAGCUGGUGACGUUUGCGGCCCCGGCGUCGUGCGCAGUCGGGCCAAACGCGGCGACAGGCUCGGGCCGGUGUGGGAGCUGAGAAGUUUCCCGCCGAGUGGUCGCCAGACACCUUUGCCGAGUUGUGGCGGCCGGGCGGGGUCGCAGGGCCGUGGAGGCAGGGAGCCAGGUCGGCCGCAGGCCCGGCCGGGGCGCUCGCCCUCCCCGUCCUUUUCUCCAUCCCCUCCCCUCCCCCACGCCCUGACCCCAAAGCGAGCGACGAUUGCCCAGCAGGUCACUGUGAAGUUGGGACGCGUGAGUUGGCAGAGAUGAACUCUUACUGCAGUGGACACCAACCCAGAGACGGCGAAACGAGCAUUCCCGAAGUCCUGCACUCUGCUGACCAGGAGAGAAGAGCUUAUGAACUUGAUGAAAAGUCCACUGAAAUGGGGAGAAAUUAAAAAGAGAGAGAAGAAAAGUAAACAGGAAACUUUGUAGGACUGCUGUAAAAGAGGAAAAUGUACCAUUGACGUAUAAGAAAUAUGGAACUUGGGGAAUAUGUGAAACAGAAAGGACCAAAUGGAAGCAAAAACCUAUCAGACUUGAAUAGCAGAUUCCACAUACAGUAGAAGAAAGACUGAAGAUAAAUGAACCCAUGCACGUUUGUCACUCAAUGGUUAUUUGAGUGCAGUGUUGAGAAGGCGUGUGAAGUACGUGGGCCUCUCCCUGUUGCGGCCUCUCCCGUUGCGGAGCACAGGCUCUGGACGUGCAGGCUCAGCAGCCAUGGCUCACGGACCCAGCCGCUCUGUGGCAUGUGGGAUCUUCCCGGACCGGGGCACGAACCCGUGUCCCCUGCAACGGCAGGUGGACUCUCAACCACUGCACCACCAGGGAAGCCCUCCCCAAUAAUUUUUUGGAGGCAGGCAUAAUUCUGGUCCCCAAAUCUGCUGAAGAAAGCACUCAAAAGAAAACUAAAGAAAAAAUUCAGUUAUAAAG